CGCGGUAAUACGUAGGUGGCAAGCGUUAUCCGGAAUUAUUGGGCGUAAAGCGCGCGUAGGCGGUUUUUUAAGUCUGAUGUGAAAGCCCACGGCUCAACCGUGGAGGGUCAUUGGAAACUGGAAAACUUGAGUGCAGAAGAGGAAAGUGGAAUUCCAUGUGUAGCGGUGAAAUGCGCAGAGAUAUGGAGGAACACCAGUGGCGAAGGCGACUUUCUGGUCUGUAACUGACGCUGAUGUGCGAAAGCGUGGGGAUCAAACAGGAUUAGAUACCCUGGUAGUCCACGC
rnacentral:rRNA from 1 species